UGUUAAAAAUUCCAUCCAUUUUUAAUGUUAAAAAUUGAUGUGGUUGACGGAAUAACCAGACAGUGACACGUGAUGUGCCAUGUAUAUCACAUUUUGACCUAUAGUGACUAAUUUUUAAUAGUAAAAAUAGAUGAAAUUUUUAACG
rfam:Gossypium hirsutum cultivar TM-1 unplaced genomic scaffold scaffold72.1, whole genome shotgun sequence